rnacentral:rRNA from 1 species
CUACGGGCGGCUCCAGUGGGGAAUAUUGGACAAUGGACCAAAAGUCUGAUCCAGCAAUUCUGUGUGUUUGAUGAAGGCCUUCGGGUUGUAAAGAACUUUCAAUGGGGAAGAAGCAAGUGACGGUACCCAUAGAAGAAGCGACGGCUAAAUACGUGCCAGCAGCCGCGGUAAUACGUAUGUCGCAAGCGUUAUCCGGAAUUAUUGGGCAUAAAGGGCAUCUAGGCGGUUUGGUAAGUUCGAUGUGAAAAUGCGGGGCUCAACUCCGUAUUGCGUUGAAAACUGCCAGACUAGAGUUUUGGAGAGGUAGGCGGAACUACAAGUGUAGAGGUGAAAUUCGUAGAGAUUUGUAGGAAUGCCGAUGACGAAGGUAGCUUACUGGACAAAUACUGACGCUGAAGUGCGAAAGCUAGGGGAGCAAACAGGAUUAGAUACCCUCGUAGUC